UGUUCGAGCGUCAUUUAGACCAAUCAUGCCUGGCAUGGUGUUGGGGCACGCGGUUCCGCGGCCUCAAAAUCAGUGGCAUCGCCGGAAGGUACUAAGCGUAGUAAUUACUAAGAGCUAUUGUUAUCUUCUGGACGGUCGCCAACAACCCCCAAUUUUUAAAGGUUGACCUCGGAUCAGGUAGGGAUACCCGCUGAACUUAA
rnacentral:misc_RNA from 1 species